UGCCCAUUGCAGGUUUCAAUAACCCAAUUAUUUCAAAGGAAAACCCAAUUAUAUGCCCAAACAAUGAGUUCUCAACCCUUUAAUUGGCGUACUGUUUGCGUUAUUUACCCUUAUCUGUUUACAGUCGUCGCGUAAAUCUAUGUUUAUAAUAUUUAUAAUUGGAAAUUUCCUUUCGUUCUAAAAAUAGAUCCCUGCAUCAAGUAGCAGAAUAGCCUGGUAUCCGGCCCAAUCUAGCUGCGCGUCGUAAGGGCCAGGUGGGGAACAAAUACCAUGUGAUCGAUUCAGUGCCAGUUGACUCUGAAUCUAAAGUGAGGCUGAAUAAAUAUUUGCAUAAAUUUGAUGUUUGAUGUAAACCAGCAAAAUUGAAAUCCAAUUCACACCUUGGUUAUUGUGAAAUCUUAAACUUUGAACUUUCUCACCAGGCGAUUGCUGAUAAGAAUUAACCCUUUUCUGCUGACUAAUUAUCACCAUACUAAUAAUUAGAUAUGAUAACACUAUACAUCAAUUAAUAAAGAAAAAUAUUACAGUCUAAUUUU
rnacentral:lncRNA from 1 species